GUACGGGAGGCAGCAGUGGGGAAUCUUGCGCAAUGGACGAAAGUCUGACGCAGCGAUGCCGCGUGGGGGAUGAAGGCUUUCGGGUCGUAAACCCCUUUGAGUGGGAAAGAAACGCCGCGGGGUAAAUAAUCCCGCGGCCUGACGGUACCCACAGAACAAGCCACGGCUAACUCUGUGCCAGCAGCCGCGGUAAGACAGAGGUGGCGAGCGUUGUUCGGAUUUACUGGGCGUAAAGCGCGGGUAGGCGGUUCGGCAAGUUAGAUGUGAAAUCCCACCGCUUAACGGUGGAACGGCGUCUGAUACUGCCGAACUUGAGUGCAGGAGAGGAGGGUGGAAUUUCCGGUGUAGCGGUGAAAUGCGUAGAGAUCGGAAGGAACACCAGUGGCGAAGGCGGCCCUCUGGACUGCAACUGACGCUGAGACGCGAAAGCGUGGGGAGCAAACAGGAUUAGAUACCCCGGAAGU
rnacentral:rRNA from 1 species